GCCUGGUUAGUUCAGUGGUAGAAUACAUGCUUUGGGUAUUUGACGCUUUGAGGUUGGUACUUGCUAGCUUCCGGUGUUACUCAAAUCUGAUUGUAUGUGGUCGCAGGUUCAAUCCCUGCAUCAGGCC
rnacentral:tRNA from 1 species